GGUGACGUGUCUGAGCGGCCGAAAGUGCCCGCCUCGAAAGCGGGUGUAGCGAAAGCUACCGAGGGUUCAAAUCCCUCCGUCACCGCCA
rnacentral:tRNA from 1 species